rnacentral:rRNA from 1 species
AUUGAACGCUGGCGGCAUGCCUUACACAUGCAAGUCGAACGGCAGCACGGGGGCAACCCUGGUGGCGAGUGGCGAACGGGUGAGUAACACAUCGGAACGUGCCCAGUAGUGGGGGAUAGCUCGGCGAAAGCCGGAUUAAUACCGCAUACGACCUACGGGUGAAAGCGGGGGAUCGCAAGACCUCGCGCUAUCGGAGCGGCCGAUGUCAGAUUAGGUUGCUGGGGGGUAAAGGCCUACCAAGCCGACGAUCUGUAGCUGGUCUGAGAGGACGACCAGCCACACUGGGACUGAGACACGGCCCAGACUCCUACGGGAGGCAGCAGUGGGGAAUUUUGGACAAUGGGCGCAAGCCUGAUCCA